ACUGUAGAACCUAGAAGGCCCGGAUGAGAUCAGAGCCCCACUAUGCAAGGCUGCCUACAAACACAUGUACCUUUCAUCUGAGACUCUCAAAGCACUUUGCAAACAUGGAUCAAGCUUUGCAAGUGUCAAGCUUCAGAUUGGCAAUAAGGGAUAAGCUGUUAACACUAAGGGAAUAACUAAACGGAACAUUUAAAAAGACCAGAGAGUGAAAAGAUUCCACCAUCUCAUGCAGGCUGUGUUGGAAAUUGUAAAUUCUGAGAUUUGGAUUUCAUCCUGCACCAUGACAGCACAGCUGAAUGCCUGUGAUGACACACAACUGUGAUUCAUGCAGCAGACCUGCAAAGCCAAUAAUCAGGAUGGACAGGCUCGCAAAGUGACGUGAAAGCUGCUGGUGGGUGAAAGGAAUGAAAACCAGAAUAAGAGAGUGUGAUAUUUCUCAGAACCAGACUGCGGACACUGCAGGAAGUUGAAGGAACACAGCCAAGAUGAAAGGACCUUCAGCUUCCGAGAGGGAAACCAUUCCACCAGGAAGGCAGGAGCAACUCUCCAGAGACAGUCAGAGAAGGACCCUGAAGGACCAUUGGCUUGGAGAAGAGGAAUCAGGAGCAGUUUGAGUCCCUCGGGGCACGGAAGGAUCAUGCUCUUCAGCAGGAAGGGACACUGAUGAACUGGUUCAUGGAGCAGGUGACACACCAUAAGAAAUGGGAGAAUUCCCUGAUCAAGAGGCUCAUUGAACUGGUGGCCAAAAGAGUGAGGCAUCUGCCUGCUGCCAAGGCCUCAGAACCAGCUGAUCAGCUGCCUUUUCUGGUGGCCAGCCAGGAUGCUGCCAAACCAGAGCCUCCUGUUGCAGUGACACCCCUCCCCUACAAACAGACCAGGAGGAGAACACUGAUCCUGCAGGAGUCCCAGAACACCAGCAUGUACUGGCCCUGAAGGAGAUGUCCCCAGUUGUUACCAAGAGUCAUUGUCUCUCAUUUUUCACCCCUGCUGAUGAGGAGGGAAAGGAGACGAGUGCAGAGACAUUAAACUGUGGGCCGUGUUCUCAGCUGUGAACAGACACUUUGGUAAAAAGCUCUUGUUCUGAUUUCAGAAUCUUUCCAUUAAAC